UCCCAGACUCCUACGGGAGGCAGCAGUGGGGAAUAUUGGGCAAUGGGCGCAAGCCUGACCCAGCAACGCCGCGUGAAGGAAGAAGGCUUUCGGGUUGUAAACUUCUUUGACAGGGGAAGAGCAGAAGACGGUACCCUGAAAACAAGCUCCGGCUAACUACGUGCCAGCAGCCGCGGUAAUACGUAGGGAGCGAGCGUUGUCCGGAAUUACUGGGUGUAAAGGGAGCGUAGACGGCUGGCCAAGUCUGAAGUGAAAGCCCGGGGCUUAACCCCGGAACGGCUUUGGAAACUGGCCGGCUGGAGUGCUGGAGAGGCAGGCGGAAUUCCUGGUGUAGCGGUGAAAUGCGUAGAUAUCAGGAGGAACACCGGUGGCGAAGGCGGCCUGCUGGACAGUAACUGACGUUGAGGCUCGAAAGCGUGGGGAGCAAACAGGAUUAGAUACCCCAGUACU
rnacentral:rRNA from 1 species